rnacentral:rRNA from 1 species
GAUGAACGCUAGCGGCAGGCUUAAUACAUGCAAGUCGAGGGGCAGCAGGACUGUAGCAAUACAGUUGCUGGCGACCGGCAAACGGGUGCGGAACACGUACGCAACUUACCCUUGUCUGGGGCAUAGCCCACCGAAAGGUGGAUUAACUCCCCAUAAGAUAGUGGUGUGGCAUCACACAGCUAUUAAAACGGAGGUGGACAAGGAUGGGCGUGCGGCUGAUUAGGUAGUUGGUGUGGGUAACGGCCCACCAAGCCUGCGAUCAGUAACUGGUGUAAAAGCACGACCAGUCACACGGGCACUGAGACACGGGCCCGACUCCUACGGGAGGCAGCAGUAAGGAAUAGUGGUCAAUGGAGGCAACUCUGAACCAGCCAUGCCGCGUGGAGGAUGAAGGCCCUCUGGGUUGUAAACUUCUUUUACAGGGGACGAGACACUUCUAUUCUUAGGAGCAUGACGGUACCCUGGGAAUAAGCACCGGCUAACUCCGUGCCAGCCGCCGCAGUAAUAC